UACGUAGGGUGCAAGCGUUAAUCGGAAUUACUGGGCGUAAAGCGUGCGCAGGCGGCUAUGCAAGACAGAUGUGAAAUCCCCGGGCUCAACCUGGGAACUGCAUUUGUGACUGCAUGGCUAGAGUACGGUAGAGGGGGAUGGAAUUCCGCGUGUAGCAGUGAAAUGCGUAGAUAUGCGGAGGAACACCGAUGGCGAAGGCAGCCCCCUGGGCUAGCACUGACGCUCAGGCACGAAAGCGUGGGGAGCAAACAGG
rnacentral:rRNA from 1 species